AUAAUCUGCCUAAGGUGGAGAUAACCUCGGGAAACUGAGAAUAACACUCCAUAGAUCUAGGAUGCUGGAAUGCACUUAGGUUGAAAGCUUCGGUGCCUUAGGAUGAGUCUGCGGACUAUCAGGUUGUAGUCAGGGUAAAGACCUGACUAGCCUACGACGGAUACGGGUUGUGAGAGCAAUAACCCGGAGAUGAUAUCUGAGACACGAUAUCAGGCCCUACGGGGCGCAGCAGGCGCGAAAACUUCGCACUGUGCGAAAGCACGACGAGGGAAUCCCAAGUGUAUGCACUUUUUGUGUAUACUGUUUCUCUGUCUAAAAAGCAGGGAGAGUAAGAGCUGGGUAAGACGGGUGCCAGCCGCCGCGGUAAUACCUGCAGCUCAAGUGGUGGCCGCUAUUAUUGGGCCUAAAACGUCCGUAGCCGGUUCUAUAAAUGCCUGGGUAAAUCGUACGGCUUAACCGUACGAAUUCCGGGUAGACUGUUCAACUUGGGACCGGGAGAGGCUAGAGGUACUCCUGGGGUAGAGGUGAAAUUCUGUAAUCCUAGGGGGACCACCAGUGGCGAAGGCGUCUAGCUAGACGGGUCUGACGGUGAGGGACGAAGCCCUGGGGAGCAAACGGGAUUAGAUACCCCGGUAGUCCAGGGUGUAAACGCUGCUCGCUUGAUGUUAGUCGGGCUCCGAGCCCAACUAGUGUUGGAGAGAAGUUGUUAAGCGAGCUGCCUGGGGAGUACGGUCGCCAGACUGACACUUAA
rnacentral:rRNA from 1 species